rnacentral:rRNA from 1 species
AACGAACGUUGGCGGUGUGGAUUAGGCAUGCAAGUCGCGCGCGAAACCCUUCGGGGGAGUAAAGCGGCGAACGGGUGAGUAACACGUAAUCAACCUGCCCUCGAGACCAGAAUAGCUACUGGAAACGGUAGGUAAUGCUGGAUGGUCCCACUGAGAGGCAUCUCCUGGUGGGUAAACGGUGGCGCAAGCUGCUGCUCGGGGGAGGGGAUUGCGGCCUAUCAGCUAGUUGGUGAGGAAUGGCUCACCAAGGCGAUGACGGGUAGCUGGUCUGAGAGGAC